AGAGUUUGAUCCUGGCUCAGAUUGAACGCUGGCGGCAUGCUUUACACAUGCAAGUCGAGCGGCAGCGCGGGGGCAACCCUGGCGGCGGGCGGCGAACGGGUGAGGAAUACAUCGGAACGUACCCCGGAGUGGGGGAUAACCCAGCGAAAGUUGGGCUAAUACCGCAUAUGCUCUGAGGAGGAAAGUGGGGGAUUCGCAAGAACCUCACGCUCUGGGAGCGGCCGAUGUCCGAUUAGCUUGUUGGUGGGGUAAUGGCUCACCAAGGCGACGAUCGGUAGCUGGUCUGAGAGGAUGAUCAGCCACACUGGGACUGAGACACGGCCCAGACUCCUACGGGAGGCAGCAGUGGGGAAUUUUGGACAAUGGGGGCAACCCUGAUCCAGCCAUGCCGCGUGCGGGAAGAAGGCCUUCGGGUUGUAAACCGCUUUUGGUCGGGAAGAAAAGGCGCCACCUAAUACGGGGCGUUCUUGACGGUACCGGCAGAAUAAGCACCGGCUAACUACGUGCCAGCAGCCGCGGUAAUACGUAGGGUGCGAGCGUUAAUCGGAAUUACUGGGCGUAAAGCGUGCGCAGGCGGUCUGUUAUGUCUGAUGUGAAAGCCCCGGGCUCAACCUGGGAAUGGCAUUGGAAACUGGCAGGCUCGAGUUUGGCAGAGGGGGGUGGAAUUCCGCGUGUAGCAGUGAAAUGCGUAGAGAUGCGGAGGAACACCGAUGGCGAAGGCAGCCCCCUGGGCUAAGACUGACGCUCAGGCACGAAAGCGUGGGGAGCAACAGGAUUAGAUACCCNNGUAGUCC
rnacentral:rRNA from 1 species